GACGAACGCUGGCGGCGUGCUUAACACAUGCAAGUCGAACGGAAAGGCUCCUGCUUGCAGGGGUACUCGAGUGGCGAACGGGUGAGUAACACGUGGGUGAUCUGCCUUGUACUCUGGGAUAAGCUUGGGAAACUGGGUCUAAUACCGGAUAAUAACUGCCUUUAGUGUGGUGGUUGGAAAGUUUUUUCGGUGCAAGAUGAGCUCGCGGCCUAUCAGCUUGUUGGUGGGGUAAUGGCCUACCAAGGCGUCGACGGGUAGCCGGCCUGAGAGGGUGUACGGCCACAUUGGGACUGAGAUACGGCCCAGACUCCUACGGGAGGCAGCAGUGGGGAAUAUUGCACAAUGGGCGGAAGCCUGAUGCAGCGACGCCGCGGGGGGGAUGACGGCCUUCGGGUUGUAAACUCCUUUCGACAGGGACGAAGCUUUUUGUGACGGUACCUGUAUAAGAAGCACCGGCUAACUACGUG
rnacentral:rRNA from 1 species